rnacentral:lncRNA from 1 species
UUAACCUUUUGUUGUAUCUUCACAGAUCGCUGUGCCUGUGCUGAAGGGCUUCACACCCUGCAAUACCGUCCCGCAGCAGCUUUUCCCGUGUUGCUAUGAGCUCACCGUGCAACCACAUUGUUGCAGUAGCGUACCGCACAUCACGCUAUGGACAGCUGGGCAUCAGUGCAGUUCCUGUUCUGUACUGAAAGGAAGCAGACUUGGCACAGACUCAGAACAAUGGUGUGAAAUACAUAGUCUCACCCCCCAGCGGUGCAAGAGAAGCGGUAUACAAAAGGAGCGCACAUUAGCAUAGAAGACCUUGGGGCGGAAUUCAGAGGAUGACAUGUUGAAAAUUACAGAGCUCCGG